rnacentral:lncRNA from 1 species
UCUCUUCCAUGGGAUCCAAUAAUUCAUGGGCUUAUUGGAUAUCCAAUAAGACAAGGGCUCCGUCGGAUAUUUCAUAUCCGAACCUCUACUCAUCGUAAUGCCUACCAUAUGUGUGUGACCCUCUAGGCCCAAUAUCGAGUUGGCCAUGAGUCAUACAUGUCAGAACUCCUUCUAACUCGGUGAAUUAUUAUCUCUGUGAUAAUUCACUCGACUCAUCGACUACGGACGUACUAGGCCAC